GAUGAACGCUGGCGGCGUGCUUAACACAUGCAAGUCGAACGUGAGGGUGUAGCAAUAUGCCUGAAAGUGGCGAACGGGUGAGUAACACGUAGGUGACCUGCCUCGGAGUGGGGGAUAACAGUUGGAAACGGCUGCUAAUACCGCAUAAGGUGAGUAAAGCGGGAGCUUUGCUUGCGAAAACUCUGGUGCUUCGAGAGGGGCCUGCGUCCGAUUAGCUAGUUGGUGGGUAAAGGCCUACCAGGCGAUGAUCGGUAGCUGGUCUGAGAGGACGAUCAGCCACACGGGAACUGAGAAACGGUCCCGACUCCUACGGGAGGCUG
rnacentral:rRNA from 1 species